UCAUAAUCAAUAUAUAAUAUGGAGAGUACAAGUAAAGAACUUAAAAACCAAAGAAUAUGGCGGUGUUUUAUUUUAUCAGGGGAACCUGUGUCUUAAUUUGAUAGUCCACGGUUAAAUAGCCUAAUUUUGAAAAGUCAGUUUGUGUACUGCCGUAUUAUUUACCUUGAAAAUUAGUUUAUAAAAACUUUUAUAAAAAAAAUCAGGUAAAGUACAGCCUAUAAUUAGGUGUAACAUGGGUUACAUUUAUUUUAGAUUCGGAUAAAUUUAUUUGUAGGAUUUGAUAGUAAUUUUAUAUAGAUUU
rnacentral:rRNA from 1 species